AACUAAUGGAAGGAGUACGGAAGAUGCUCCUGCGUUUACCUGUACUACCUGAGCUUGAGUUAGUGCUGGAAGGAGAGGAACUGUGGACCCCAACUGUAUUACUGGAGGACGAUGUAGUAGGCAUAUGACAGCCAUGAUCACUCCCCUCUCAGUAAAAUGCCCCACGCUGUCUCAGUUGGCCAGCACCAGAUGUACCAUGGAACUCAACAAGUUAUUUACCUGAGCUUCACAGAGUCACAGACCAGACUAAGAGUGAAGAGCCAAGAACUUGUGCUGCUGAAGGCCCAGAUACGCUUCUACUUCAGGGAUUCGUAGUUGUAUGGUCAAUCUUGCUAUUCUGGUAACUACUGUUUUCCACUGGUUUUCAUAAUGUGCCAUGAUUUGGUUCCAAUUUUGUUUUGUUUUGCUUUGUUUCUAAAUUUCACUUAAUUCCUUAACCAUAAUGUUCACACCCUCUUUGUCAACUUGAAUCAGACUAUUUCAUUUUUUUGUUUCUUUGCACCCAAAACUAUCUACUAAACAAUAACAAAUAACUACAUAAAAUGACAAGCCCUCCAUUUUAUCAUCCUUACAGAUACAUUAUGAGAUUGAUCAAGUAAAAUAGUUUUAUGUCCUUGAAGAAAUACGUGACAAAAAUGGAAAAUAUUUUCUUUUUCAGAUAUGCAUUCAUAAAUAUUUGAU